rnacentral:rRNA from 1 species
GAUGAACGCUAGGGGCAUGCUUAACACAUGCAAGUCGAACGAUUCUAACAUUUUGUUUACAAAAUGUAAGGAAAGUGGCGGACGGGUGAGUACGCGUAAGAACUUACCCCUAGGAGGGGAAUAACUGCUAGAAAUGGUAGCUAAUACCCCAUAAGCUGAGGAGUAAAAUGGAAUAUUCCGCCUAGGGAUAGGCUUGCGUCUGAUUAGCUAGUUGGUAAAGUAAUGGUUUACCAAGGCAACGAUCAGUAGCUGGCCUGAGAGGAUGAUCAGCCACACUGGGACUGAGACACGGCCCAG